CUGAGCUUUCGUUAACGUAUUUCAGGACAGCCAUUGCUUUAGCAAGUAACUUAGACAAACAGCCGAAAUUUAAAGUAAUAAAACAUUGAGCCUAUCUAAGAGAAGAUACUUUACAGCUUGCACCGCAAUAUUUGGACUUUCUUUCCACACUUUCUGGAGUCCAACGACAUAUUUGCUCUCGCAUGCUACGCAUGCUGUGGUCACAAGUGUGAAAUGACUUGCUUCCGCGUAGGAGUAGCCUACUUUACAUCUUGCACAGUAAUCUACAGCUUUCUUUCCACACUUUCUGGAGUCCAACGACAGAUUGGGUCUCGGCAUGUUCCCGAAUCAAGUAUAUCUAUUGCUCCUGUUCUGUGACCUCUCCUAUUGCUGUGGAAGUGCAGAAUAUUUAAUUAAUGGAAAGUCCUGUCCGAUGUGCUCCCCUGGGGAGCAUGUUUAUAGGCACUGCACAAAAUACACAAGCACCUCCUGUGAUCUGUGCACUGCUGGAUCAUUCAUGUCGGUGCCCAACGGUCUUCUUCAUUGUAUCACUUGUACAGUCUGUGACCCAGGUCAUGGAUUAAAGACGGACAGGGAGUGCAGUCCCACCUCUGAUGCAGUGUGUGGGCCUCUGGAUCAGCACUAC